GACGUAGGAGGCGAGCGUUGUCCGGAUUCAUUGGGCGUAAAGAGCGCGCAGGCGGCUUGGUAAGUCGGAUGUGAAAUCCCGAGGCUCAACCUCGGGUCUGCAUCCGAUACUGCCCGGCUAGAGGUAGGUAGGGGAGAUCGGAAUUCCUGGUGUAGCGGUGAAAUGCGCAGAGAUCGGGAGGAACACCCGUAGCGAAGGCGGCACUCUGGGCCGGUACUGAACGCUGAGGAGCGAAAGCGUGGGGAGCAAACAGG
rnacentral:rRNA from 1 species